CCGAGUUUACAACUCCCAAACCCCUGUGAACAUACCACUUGUUGCCUCGGCGGAUCAGCCCGCUCCCGGUAAAACGGGACGGCCCGCCAGAGGACCCCUAAACUCUGUUUCUAUAUGUGACUUCUGAGUAAAACCAUAAAUAAAUCA
rnacentral:misc_RNA from 1 species